rnacentral:lncRNA from 1 species
AUGGCUAUCCGUAUCAAUCAUAUGUAUGUUUUCAUUGCAAUUAUGUGCAUCGUUUCUAUUUUGAUUCAAGGUACAUAUAAAGUGGGUGGAAUCCAUAAAGUAAUAGUUCCUGAUCCGCCAGGUUGUGGUAAUCGAGCUGAUUUGUGUCCAGAUUAUCCUGAAGAAUGUCUUAAGACUUGUAUAAUCAAGGAUGUCGGAUUAGCUAAGUGCUGUCGAGGAGAACUAUGUUGCUGUGAAGCAUAG